rnacentral:rRNA from 1 species
UACAGAGGUCCCAAGCGUUGUUCGGAUUUAUUGGGCGUAAAGGGUGCGUAGGCGGCUCGGAAAGUCGGGCGUGAAAUGCCGGGGCUCAACCCCGGGACUGCGUCCGAUACUUCCGAGCUGGAGGUAGGUAGGGGAGAUCGGAAUUCCUGGUGUAGCGGUGAAAUGCGCAGAUAUCAGGAGGAACACCGGUGGCGAAGGCGGAUCUCUGGGCCUUACCUGACGCUGAGGCGCGAAAGCUAGGGGAGCGAACAGG